UGUUUAGGCUUGACGGUGUCGUUGUAUCUCAAGCAAAGCGUACCAUCCAAAGAUUAGUCUAUGUUUGUCCACUCGGCAUUUGGCUGAUACUGCUAUUAUUACAAAAGCAAAACGUCGAGGAUAUUUUCAUCGCGUGGUAAAAAUUUCAUACCGUUACGUUUAGGGAGUGCUUCUUAACUGUCUCCCGUACACGAUACUCAGCAAACUUCCCGAUACCAAUAACGAUAUCCACUUUCAGAACAGUGAUGAUCUCGCCAAGUGAUGAGUCACAUAAUUCCAUAAUUGCUUGGCGGUCCGACGACUUAAAUACUUUUAAUUCAGGAGGAGUGAUAUUGCGGCCACUCGUGUGCAUGAAGCUCAGUGGACAGUAGCUGUAAACAAAACAGUUUUUGAACAUGUUUUCUGGAGUAAUGCAGAUGUCUCGGAAGAAACCCCAAAAGCGUUGGCCGCUAACCUCGGUACGUGGACAUUGAAAGCCUUGGACCUUCCGCUGAGGAUGCUCUAUAGGCGGAUGACCAACUGUUCCGACAAUUCCGAGCCAAUCUUGAACCAAUCUUGCAGCUCCAAAUGGAAUCUGAUCACGAAAUACAGUCAUGAUAGAGUUA